rnacentral:rRNA from 1 species
GGGAGCCCCGGCAGGCUAUACAUGCAGUCGAACGAGAUUAAGAGGCUUGCUUCUUAUGAAAGUGGCGCACGGGUGCGUAACGCGUAUGCAACCUACCUUAAUCAGGGGGAUAGCCCGAAGAAAUUCGGAUUAAGACCGCAUAAAAACACAGGAUAGCAUUAUCCAAUGUUCAAAUAUUUAUAGGAUUAAGAUGGGCAUGCGUGUCAUUAGCUAGUUGGCGGGGUAACGGCCCACCAAGGCGACGAUGACUAGGGGAUCUGAGAGGAUGACCCCCCACACUGGUACUGAGACACGGACCAGACUCCUACGGGAGGCAGCAGUAAGGAAUAUUGGUCAAUGGAGGGAACUCUGAACCAGCCAUGCCGCGUGCAGGAAGACAGCCCUCUGGGUCGUAAACUGCUUUUAUUCGGGAAUAAACCUUUCUACGUGUAGGAAGCUGAAUGUACCGAAGGAAUAAGGAUCGGCUAACUCCGUGCCAGCAGCCGCGGUAAUACGGAGGAUCCAAGCGUUAUCCGGAUUUAUUGGGUUUAAAGGGUGCGUAGGCGGCUUAUUAAGUCAGGGGUGAAAGACGGUGGCUCAACCAUCGCAGUGCCCUUGAUACUGAUGAGCUUGAAUACACUAGAGGUAGGCGGAAUGUGACAAGUAGCGGUGAAAUGCAUAGAUAUGUCACAGAACACCGAUUGCGAAGGCAGCUUACUAUGGUGUUAUUGACGCUGAGGCACGAAAGCGUGGGGAUCAAACAGGAUUAGAUACCCUGGUAGUCCACGCCCUAAACGAUGAAUAUUCGCUGUUAGCGAUAUACAGUUAGCGGCUAAGCGAAAGCGUUAAGUAUUCCACCUGGGGAGUACGCCCGCAAGGGUGAAACUCAAAGGAAUUGACGGGGGCCCGCACAAGCGGAGGAGCAUGUGGUUUAAUUCGAU